rnacentral:rRNA from 1 species
UACGUAGGGUGCGAGCGUUGUCCGGAUUUACUGGGCGUAAAGAGCGCGCAGGCGGUCGGAUCAGUCGAAUGUGAAAGCCCCCGGCUCAACUGGGGAGGGUCAUUCGAUACUGUCCGACUCGAAGGCAGGAGAGGGAAGCGGAAUUCCCGGUGUAGUGGUGAAAUGCGUAGAUAUCGGGAGGAACACCAGUGGCGAAGGCGGCUUUCUGGCCUGUUCUUGACGCUGAGGCGCGAAAGCUAGGGGAGCGAACGGG